rnacentral:rRNA from 1 species
AUGGCAUCCAAAGCAUUGGCAGCUCUGGUGGUCCUUGUACUCCUCGCCGGCGGCAAGCUUGGCCACGCCGUGCUGGUCAGCGGCCGUCCCCCGGUUUCCACUCUGCCGCACCCAUCGUCAUCCACUACUGCUGGUCAGGCUACCAACAUGAACGCCAUGGAUGGAGCAUCAGCAGCCACUACUCAUCGCCAACUCAGGAUCGGAGAAGGUGAGGAAAAAUCCAUUUCUGUGAACAGCCUGCCGACGGUGCACAUGAGGGUGCCGGUUAUUAUCCCCAAAUCCACCUAA